GGGUUGUGAGGUUAAGCGACUAAGCGUACACGGUGGAUGCCCUGGCAGUCAGAGGCGAUGAAGGGCGUGCUAAUCUGCGAUAAGCGCCGGUAAGGUGAUAUGAACCGUUAUAACCGGCGAUACCCGAAUGGGGAAACCCAGUGUGAUUCGUCACACUAUCAUUAACUGAAUCCAUAGGUUAAUGAGGCGAACCGGGGGAACUGAAACAUCUAAGUACCCCGAGGAAAAGAAAUCAACCGAGAUUCCCCCAGUAGCGGCGAGCGAACGGGGAGGAGCCCAGAGCCUGAAUCAGCAUGUGUGUUAGUGGAAGCGUCUGGAAAGGCGCGCGAUACAGGGUGACAGCCCCGUACACAAAAGCGCAUGUGCUGUGAGCUCGAUGAGUAGGGCGGGACACGUGGUAUCCUGUCUGAAUAUGGGGGGACCAUCCUCCAAGGCUAAAUACUCCUGACUGACCGAUAGUGAACCAGUACCGUGAGGGAAAGGCGAAAAGAACCCCGGCGAGGGGAGUGAAAAAGAACCUGAAACCGUGUACGUACAAGCAGUGGGAGCACCCUUCGGGGUGUGACUGCGUACCUUUUGUAUAAUGGGUCAGCGACUUAUAUUCUGUAGCAAGGUUAACCGAAUAGGGGAGCCGGAGGGAAACCGAGUCUUAAUUGGGCGUUAAGUUGCAGGGUAUAGACCCGAAACCCGGUGAUCUAGCCAUGGGCAGGUUGAAGGUUGGGUAACACUAACUGGAGGACCGAACCGACUAAUGUUGAAAAAUUAGCGGAUGACCUGUGGCUGGGGGUGAAAGGCCAAUCAAACCGGGAGAUAGCUGGUUCUCCCCGAAAGCUAUUUAGGUAGCGCCUCGUGAAUUCAUCUCCGGGGGUAGAGCACUGUUUCGGCUAGGGGGCCAUCCCGGCUUACCAACCCGAUGCAAACUGCGAAUACCGGAGAAUGUUAUCACGGGAGACACACGGCGGGUGCUAACGUCCGUCGUGAAGAGGGAAACAACCCAGACCGCCAGCUAAGGUCCCAAAGUCAUGGUUAAGUGGGAAACGAUGUGGGAAGGCCCAGACAGCCAGGAUGUUGGCUUAGAAGCAGCCAUCAUUUAAAGAAAGCGUAAUAGCUCACUGGUCGAGUCGGCCUGCGCGGAAGAUGUAACGGGGCUAAACCAUGCACCGAAGCUGCGGCAGCGACACUGUGUGUUGUUGGGUAGGGGAGCGUUCUGUAAGCCUGCGAAGGUGGCCUGUGAGGGUUGCUGGAGGUAUCAGAAGUGCGAAUGCUGACAUAAGUAACGAUAAAGCGGGUGAAAAGCCCGCUCGCCGGAAGACCAAGGGUUCCUGUCCAACGUUAAUCGGGGCAGGGUGAGUCGACCCCUAAGGCGAGGCCGAAAGGCGUAGUCGAUGGGAAACGGGUUAAUAUUCCCGUACUUGGUGUUACUGCGAAGGGGGGACGGAGAAGGCUAUGUUGGCCGGGCGACGGUUGUCCCGGUUUAAGCGUGUAGGCUGGUUUUCCAGGCAAAUCCGGAAAAUCAAGGCUGAGGCGUGACGACGAGGCACUACGGUGCUGAAGCAACAAAUGCCCUGCUUCCAGGAAAAGCCUCUAAGCAUCAGGUAACAUCAAAUCGUACCCCAAACCGACACAGGUGGUCAGGUAGAGAAUACCAAGGCGCUUGAGAGAACUCGGGUGAAGGAACUAGGCAAAAUGGUGCCGUAACUUCGGGAGAAGGCACGCUGACAUGUAGGUGAAGUGAUUUACUCAUGGAGCUGAAGUCAGUCGAAGAUACCAGCUGGCUGCAACUGUUUAUUAAAAACACAGCACUGUGCAAACACGAAAGUGGACGUAUACGGUGUGACGCCUGCCCGGUGCCGGAAGGUUAAUUGAUGGGGUCAGCGCAAGCGAAGCUCCUGAUCGAAGCCCCGGUAAACGGCGGCCGUAACUAUAACGGUCCUAAGGUAGCGAAAUUCCUUGUCGGGUAAGUUCCGACCUGCACGAAUGGCGUAAUGAUGGCCAGGCUGUCUCCACCCGAGACUCAGUGAAAUUGAACUCGCUGUGAAGAUGCAGUGUACCCGCGGCAAGACGGAAAGACCCCGUGAACCUUUACUAUAGCUUGACACUGAACAUUGAGCCUUGAUGUGUAGGAUAGGUGGGAGGCUUUGAAGCGUGGACGCCAGUCUGCGUGGAGCCGACCUUGAAAUACCACCCUUUAAUGUUUGAUGUUCUAACGUGGACCCGUGAUCCGGGUUGCGGACAGUGUCUGGUGGGUAGUUUGACUGGGGCGGUCUCCUCCUAAAGAGUAACGGAGGAGCACGAAGGUUGGCUAAUCCUGGUCGGACAUCAGGAGGUUAGUGCAAUGGCAUAAGCCAGCUUGACUGCGAGCGUGACGGCGCGAGCAGGUGCGAAAGCAGGUCAUAGUGAUCCGGUGGUUCUGAAUGGAAGGGCCAUCGCUCAACGGAUAAAAGGUACUCCGGGGAUAACAGGCUGAUACCGCCCAAGAGUUCAUAUCGACGGCGGUGUUUGGCACCUCGAUGUCGGCUCAUCACAUCCUGGGGCUGAAGUAGGUCCCAAGGGUAUGGCUGUUCGCCAUUUAAAGUGGUACGCGAGCUGGGUUUAGAACGUCGUGAGACAGUUCGGUCCCUAUCUGCCGUGGGCGCUGGAGAACUGAGGGGGGCUGCUCCUAGUACGAGAGGACCGGAGUGGACGCAUCACUGGUGUUCGGGUUGUCAUGCCAAUGGCACUGCCCGGUAGCUAAAUGCGGAAGAGAUAAGUGCUGAAAGCAUCUAAGCACGAAACUUGCCCCGAGAUGAGUUCUCCCUGAGACUUAGAGUCUCCUGAAGGAACGUUGAAGACGACGACGUUGAUAGGCCGGGUGUGUAAGCGCAGCGAUGCGUUGAGCUAACCGGUACUAAUGAACCGUGAGGCUUAACCUUACAACGCCGAAG
rnacentral:rRNA from 1 species